AUGGCCGACAACCUGAUCAAGCCCGUGGCUUUGCUGCUGCUGCUCCUGAACCUGUGCAUGUACGUCAUCCUGGCCAUCAUCGGCGGCUGGGCUCUGAACGUGGCCAUCGACCGCGGCUUCAUCAUCGGCCCGGAGCUGCGGCUUCCCGCGCAUUUCCACCCUAUCUUCUUCCCCAUCGGCAACUUCGCCACCGGCUUCUUCGUCCUCUUCUCCCUCAUAGCGGGCGUCGUCGGGAUCGCCUCCGCCAUGGUGGGCUUCAACCACCUCCGCUUCUGGAACUACGAAAGCCAGCAGCCCGCGGCGGCGUUGGGGAUUGUGGCGUGGGCGCUCACAGUCCUAGCCAUGGGCCUAGCUUGUCAGGAAAUCUCUUUCGACCGAAGAAACGCCAAGCUGGGCACCAUGGAGACCUUCACCAUCAUCCUAACAGUGACGCAGUUCUUCUACGUGCUCGCGAUACGCGGGGGAAGGCACGGACCCGUCCACGUGGAGCGCCGCGGCAACUUUGCAUGAAAGACCACCGACAAAUAUUCAUUCAUUUGUGCACGUACCGUCCAUGGAGACCUUCACUAUUAAUUCGUUUGCUGGAUUCGUUAAUUAUUUCAUUAUUGUUUGACAGUUUC
rnacentral:misc_RNA from 1 species